AUGUGAACCAUACCAAACUGUUGCCUCGGCGGGGUCACGCCCCGGGUGCGUCGCAGCCCCGGAACCAGGCGCCCGCCGGAGGGACCAACCAAACUCUUUCUGUAGUCCCCUCGCGGACGUUAUUUCUUACAGCUCUGAGCAAAAAUUCAAAAUGAAUCAAAACUUUCAACAACGGAUCUCUUGGUUCUGGCAUCGAUGAAGAACGCAGCGAAAUGCGAUAAGUAAUGUGAAUUGCAGAAUUCAGUGAAUCAUCGAAUCUUUGAACGCACAUUGCGCCCGCCAGUAUUCUGGCGGGCAUGCCUGUCCGAGCGUCAUUUCAACCCUCGAACCCCUCCGGGGGGUCGGCGUUGGGGAUCGGGAACCCCUAAGACGGGAUCCCGGCCCCGAAAUACAGUGGCGGUCUCGCCGCAGCCUCUCAUGCGCAGUAGUUUGCACAACUCGCACCGGGAGCGCGGCGCGUCCACGUCCGUAAAACACCCAACUUCUGAAAUGUUGACCUCGGAUCAGGUAGGAAUACCCGCUGAACUUAAGCAUAUCAAUA
rnacentral:rRNA from 1 species